rnacentral:rRNA from 1 species
AACGCGUAUCCAACCUGCCCACCACUUGGGGAUAACCUUGCUAAAGUAAGACUAAUACCCAAUGAUAUCUCUAGAAGACAUCUGAAAGAGAUUAAAGAUUUAUCGGUGAUGGAUGGGGAUGCGUCUGAUUAGCUUGUUGGCGGGGUAACGGCCCACCAAGGCUACGAUCAGUGGGGGUUCUGAGAGGAAGGUCCCCCACAUUGGAACUGAGACACGGUCCAAACUCCUACGGGAGGCAGCAGUGAGGAAUAUUGGUCAAUGGACGAGAGUCUGAACCAGCCAAGUAGCGUGCAGGAUGACGGCCCUAUGGGUUGUAAACUGCUUUUAUAAGGGAAUAAAGUGAGUCUCGUGAGACUUUUUGCAUGUACCUUAUGAAUAAGGACCGGCUAAUUCCGUGCCAGCAGCCGCGGUAAUACGGAAGGUCCGGGCGUUAUCCGGAUUUAUUGGGUUUAAAGGGAGCGUAGGCCGGAGAUUAAGCGUGUUGUGAAAUGUAGACGCUCAACGUCUGCACUGCAGCGCGAACUGGUUUCCUUGAGUACGCACAAAGUGGGCGGAAUCCGUGGUGUAGCGGUGAAAUGCUUAGAUAUCACGAAGAACUCCGAUUGCGAAGGCAGCUCACUGAAACGCAACUGACGCUGAAGCUCGAAGGUGCGGGUAUCGAACAGGAUUAGAUACCCUGGUAGUCCGCACGGUAAACGAUGGAUGCCCGCUGUUGGUCUGAAUAGGUCAGCGGCC